UACAGUCAUAUCACAUUGAAACACCAGUUCUCGUACAAUCACUGAAGUUAAGCAACAUAGUGUCUGGUCAGUACCUAGAUGGGUGACUGCUUAAGAACACCAGGU